AUACUGUAAAAACAAGAUUAUAGUAGCCUAUUUGCUGACACUCACUCAAAGCGGUGCUCUUUGGCUGAGGUUUUAUAUCGAGUGUUGUAAAAAUAACAUUAACAUCGUGCUAUUACGUUUUAUGCUAAUUCUCUUGAUUUUAUACUAGGCCUACACAGACAAUUAUUUCAUAAAUGUAUUGUGUGUGCGUGCAUUUUUUUGUGUGUGUGUCAUUGUUCAAUGGUCUUCUCAGCUGGAUGGUGAGAGUUUAAUUUGCUUAUGAUCUGUCGUAACCCAAAUGCGGGGCUUUCCCUGCCCACCCUUCACCAACAGGAUGUGGUUGUCAGUUUGCAUGUGUAGCUUGCAAUGCAGCACAAUCUGUGAUGGAACUCCGGCGUCAAACCUCGUGCGACGGCCCCACAGAGAAACUCAAAGAGAACAAUACCAACUCUCGUCACGGGGAUAUAGAGGGUGUCGGACGUGUGUUUGCCUCCAAUCCCACAGUGCACACUUUUAUGUGGAAAAGAUCCAAAAGCAUUCAUCCCCCAUGCUUGUCCACUGCCAGGUGUGGACUCUGUGUGGUCCCACUGUCCCACAGCUAUCAAGACCAAAAGCAGCCCAGUGAAGCUGCUCUCAGGCCAGCCUGUUCCUCUUUCAGAACUUGGCUACAGCCCACGGCCCAGAGAUAGGGACAACACAUUAGUGUGAGAGCUUGCAGAUGUGCAGCGGCGUUCAACCCCACCACCACCACCACCAGCACCCAGUAAGGCUGUUAGCGGUCCGCUGCGGGUCCAAGCGUCCACGCACAGAUUUGAAGAACGACCACAGAGAGCUGACCAGACCAGUCCCGAGUCCAACCCUCUGCACAAGUAUGAGUCAUCCCCACGUGGAACGAGGUCAAGUUGUGGAUCUUUUGAGGAACACUCUGUUUUGCAUGCUGCCUCAUGCAAAUGUGUUUUAAAGCACAAUAAGUAUGCAAUGUACUUUAAUAUAGCAGUCCAACAGCUGCAGGAUAUUAAUAUAUCCCAUAUUUUCUGUGACGAAUAAAAUUUUUUCUUUUAUAGACAACAUGUUUACCAAAACCCAUUCACAGGAUUAUGUGUUGCUUGUAAUAACAAUUUUUCAAAGAUAUUUGCGCAUUAUCAUCCAUGAUUAAUAUCACAAAUCACGGCGGACUGCAUGUGUGGAGUUGAGGUCUGACUCAAAGCAGCUCACGGACAAACAUCUUCACAGCAGCGCGGAAAAUGGCAGUGUCGGUGUCACGUGUUCAAAGCACAGAUGUUUACUUGUGUCUGAUACGAGAUUAAUGACAUUUUCAUUUUUUAAAGUAUGUUGAUACAUUUUCAGCUUUUCAUAUUUACUUCAUAUUUGUUGAGGCUCAAAACAAUUGAUGUGUUUUAGUGAUGACAGUGUUUUAAACAAAACACCAUUCUUUAAACAAAACACCAAUGGGCGUCAUACGUGAUUUCAGAGCA